GGUGAAGUUGCGCAAUUGGCAGCGCACCGGUUGUAGAAGCCGGCGGUUGCGGGUUCGAGUCCCGCCUUCCCCACCA
rnacentral:tRNA from 1 species